UGGCUCAGAACGAACGCUGGCGGCAGGCCUCAAACAUGCAAGUCUAGGGGGUGUAGCAAUACAUCACCGGCGGACGGGUGCGUAACACGUGGGGAUAUACCUUUCGGUACGGAACAACUGAGGGAAACUUCAGCUAAUACCGUAUACGUCCUAACGGAGAAAGAUUUAUCGCCGAAGGAUUAGCCCGCGCUCGAUUAGCUAGUUGGUGAGGUAAUGGCUCACCAAGACAAAGAUCGAUAGCUGUUCUGAGAGGAAGAUCAGCCACACUUUUUUCUGAGACACGAGAAAGACUCCUACGGGAGUCAUCAGUGGGG
rnacentral:rRNA from 1 species